UGUUAACAUGGAUCGGAAUAAUUCCGUUAAUUCUGCAAAUUGUUGUGAACAUAUUGAAAAAGGCCACCCCUGUUCCUGCACCGUCUGUGGUUCAGGUGAUGCAAGUGAAGUAUGUAAACCAACACUUCCAGGAGAUGAUGGUGACAGGAAACAUAAAGUUCCACAUUUGUGGGAACAAAAUGCUUCAGAGGGAAAUCAAGAAACAGAUGCUGGUGAAUUAAAAGAUAAACAUCGACAGAGACCAUUGCUGAAAACAGUUGCUAGAGGCACUGCGCUUGUUGGUGUAUUGUAUCUUUUGCUGCAUUUCAGUCGUAGGAGAAACAAACCGGAAGAAGGCAGUGAAGCCAACAGUAAACGAACUCAAAGUAAGAAGAUUCGUGGCAGAGAUUUCUCGUAUGGGCAUGGACAAAAUGGACGUCAACUCAAUAGUAUAUAUCCUUCCGAAAAACUCAAGUUCAAGAAUUAGAUUCUGCAUCGUCUGAGAGACUUGUAAGGGCUGGAUUUUCAUAUGUUAAGCCCAUUUCAUUGUAAUUUUUACUGUAGAAUAAGCAUAUGAGGUUUAGUUCAUAAGUUAAAAAGAAAAAAAGCUAA
rnacentral:misc_RNA from 1 species